rnacentral:rRNA from 1 species
UACGUAGGCAGCAAGCGUUGUUCGGAGUUACUGGGCGUAAAGGGUGUGUAGGCGGUUCUUUAAGUUUGGUGUGAAAUCUCCCGGCUCAACUGGAAGGGUGCGCCGAAUACUGAGGGACUAGAGUACGGGAGAGGAAAGUGGAAUUCCUGGUGUAGCGGUGAAAUGCGUAGAUAUCAGGAGGAACACCGGUGGUGUAGACGGCUUUCUGGACCGUAACUGACGCUGAGACACGAAAGCGUGGGUAGCAAACAGG